GACGAACGCUGGCGGCAUGCCUAAUACAUGCAAGUCGAGCGAACAGAUGAAGUGCUUGCACUUCUGGCGUUAGCGGCGAACGGGUGAGUAACACGUAAGGAAUCUACCUAUAAGCGGGGGAUAACAUUCGGAAACGGGUGCUAAUACCGCAUAAUAUCUUCUUCCGCAUGGAAGAAGAUUGAAAGACGGCUCUGCUGUCACUUAUAGAUGACCUUGCGGUGCAUUAGUUAGUUGGUGGGGUAACGGCCUACCAAGACGAUGACGCAUAGCCGACCUGAGAGGGUGAUCGGCCACAUUGGGACUGAGACACGGCCCAAACUCCUACGGGAGGCAGCAGUAGGGAAUCUUCCGCAAUGGGCGAAAGCCUGACGGAGCAAUGCCGCGUGAGUGAAGAAGGCCUUCGGGUCGUAAAACUCUGUUAUAAGAGAAGAACAAAUUGUAGAGUAACUGCUACAGUCUUGACGGUAUCUUAUCAGAAAGCCACGGCUAACUACGUGCCAGCAGCCGCCGUAA
rnacentral:rRNA from 1 species